CAAGUCGAGCGGCAAGUUAGGUAGUAAUACUUAACCUAGAGCGGCGCACGGGUGCGUAACGCGUAUGCAACCUACCUUUUACUGGGGGAUAGCCCGGAGAAAUCUGGAUUAAUACCCCAUGGUACCUAGAGGUCGAAUGACUUUUAGUUUAAAGAUUUAUCGGUAAGAGAUGGGCAUGCGUCUGAUUAGCUAGUUGGGGGGGUAACGGCCCACCAAGGCGACGAUCAGUAGGGGUUCUGAGAGGAAGGUCCCCCACACUGGCACUGAGAUACGGGCCAGACUCCUACGGGAGGCAGCAGUAGGGAAUAUUGGGCAACGGUCGCAAGACUGACCCAGCCAUGCCGCGUGCAGGAAGACGGCCCUCUGGGUUGUAAACUGCUUUUAUCUGGGAAGAAAAAGUCCAUGCGUGGAAAAUUGCCGGUACCAGAUGAAUAAGCACCAGCUAACUCCGUGCCAGCAGCCGCGGUAAUACGGAGGGUGCAAGCGUUGUCCGGAUUUAUUGGGUUUAAAGGGUGCGUAGGCGGCUGAAUAAGUCAGCGGUGAAAGACUUCGGCUUAACCGGAGCAGUGCCGUUGAUACUGUUUAGCUUGAGUGUUGGAGGGGUACAUGGAAUUGAUGGUGUAGCGGUGAAAUGCAUAGAUACCAUCAGGAACACCGAUAGCGAAGGCAUUGUACUGGCCAACAACUGACGCUGAGGCACGAAAGUGUGGGGAUCGAACAGGAUUAGAUACCCUGGUAGUCCACACUGUAAACGAUGAUUACUCGCUGUUAUGGUGAAUGCUGUAGCGGCCAAGCGAAAGCGUUAAGUAAUCCACCUGGGGAGUACGCCGGCAACGGUGAAACUCAAAGGAAUUGACGG
rnacentral:rRNA from 1 species